rnacentral:tRNA from 1 species
CGCGGAGUGGAGCAGCUCGGCAGCUCGCUGGGCUCAUAACCCAGGUUAGUUCGGUCGAUACACCGCAGGUUCAAAUCCCGCCCCCGCUACCA